UGGGGAAUAUUGGACAAUGGGCGAAAGCCUGAUCCAGCCAUGCCGCGUGUGUGAAGAAGGUCUUCGGAUUGUAAAGCACUUUAAGUUGGGAGGAAGGGCAGUAAGCGAAUACCUUGCUGUUUUGACGUUACCGACAGAAUAAGCACCGGCUAACUCUGUGCCAGCAGCCGCGGUAAUACAGUGGGUGCAAGCGUUAAUCGGAAUUACUGGGCGUAAAGCGCGCGUAGGUGGUUCGUUAAGUUGAAUGUGAAAGCCCCGGGCUCAACCUGGGAACUGCAUCCAAAACUGGCGAGCUAGAGUAGGGCAGAGGGUGGUGGAAUUUCCUGUGUAGCGGUGAAAUGCGUAGAUAUAGGAAGGAACACCAGUGGCGAAGGCGACCACCUGGGCUCAUACUGACACUGAGGUGCGAAAGCGUGGGGAGCAAACAGG
rnacentral:rRNA from 1 species